rfam:Triticum urartu cultivar G1812 contig1235948, whole genome shotgun sequence.
AUGCUACUCCCUCCGUUCGGAAUUACUCGUCCAAGAAAUGAAUGUAUCUAAAUGUAUUUUAGUUGUAGAUACAUUCAUUUUUGUGACAAGUAAUUCCGAAUGGAGGGUGUAUUUU